AGUGAACGCUGGCGGCAUGCCUAAUACAUGCAAGUCGAACGGCCGCACAGUAAGAUUUCGCCCCUACGGUUGGCGACUGGCGGACGGGUGAGGCAUACAUCGCCAUCUACUUUUACGUGGGGGACAACGUAGAGCAACUUACGCUACCACCUCAUAUGUCGUACGGGUGAAAGCAGGGGAUCUUGGGACCUUUCCUGACAGUAUUAGCUGGUGUCGGAUUAGCUAGUUGGCGAGGUAAAGGCCCACCAAGGCAACGAUCCGUAGCUGAUCUGAGAGGAUGAUCAGCCACACUGGAACUGAGACACGGUCCAGACUCCUACGGGAGGCAGCAGUAGGGAAUAUUCGGCAAUGGGCGAAAGCCUGAUCCAGCAAUGCCGCGUGAGUGAAGAAGGCCUUCGGGUUGUAAAACUCUGUUGUUAGGGAAGAAAAGCAGUGUAAGAAAACCCGCCUGUUUUGACGGUACCCAAAGAGUAAGCACCGGCUAACUUCGUG
rnacentral:rRNA from 1 species